rnacentral:rRNA from 1 species
UACGAAGGGUGCAAACGUUGCUCGGAAUCAUUGGGCGUAAAGCGCACGUAGGCGGCCUGAUAAGUCGGAUGUGAAAUCCCUCGGCUCAACUGAGGACGUGCAUUCGAAACUGCCAGGCUCGAGUAUGGAAGAGGGUCGCGGAAUUCCCGGUGUAGAGGUGAAAUUCGUAGAUAUCGGGAGGAACACCAGUGGCGAAGGCGGCACUCUGGGCCGGUACUGACGCUGAGGAGCGAAAGCGUGGGGAGCAAACAGG